rnacentral:rRNA from 1 species
AUGGAUCAGAAGGGAAAGUCCAAUGUUGUUGAAGAGUUCGUGCAAACGGCAUCUGGUGGCGUCAGGACGUACAAGGAUAAAGAGGCAUCGGAGCACGAUACUGCCAGCAGUCCUCUCGACGUGUUGCAAUCACAGUCAUGCUGCCUGACAUGCAAGAAUGACCGUGGGAAUUGCAGUAAUGAUGGAACAACAAAACGUUGUGUUGAAGUAACUCUGCACCAGACAUUUUGUAAAAGUGUGAAUAUUACAUGUGACAUGAGAGAAGCCGUAAACAGCAUCUCAGGAAAUAAAGUUGUCCUAUGUACCCCUGAAGGUUUUCACUAUAAGGUCAAUGUGACUAAAAGGAUUGAUGUCACGAGUAUUCAUGGUGCUAGAUGGAACGAGUUUCUAUUUGAUUACAAUCUAUUGGAGGGAGAUAAAGUUCUACUUAUAGUUACAAUAUAUGGUUUGCUUGUUGCUGCCAUAAGUAAGGAAAAUGUUUUUAAAAUCAGGUCACCGACAGCAGUUGCACAGAGUGUUGAAGAUGAUGUCAAACAUAUUAUAGAUGAUGUUGUGAUGACGAGAGGUUGUCGUCUUAUGGUAGAUGAAGAUGAUAAUUUGGUUCAAUGCAUAAGAACUUAUGGUGCUUUCGCGAUUUCUUCAUUUGUGCAUAGGAUAACACAAAGCGACAUGGGAAAAAUGAAAAUACCACGAGAAGUUGCUGAUGAAUUAGAUGUUUGCAAUGAAGGAAUGACACUGUUAGUAAUGUACAAGACUUUCAAUCUUGAAAUCGACGGAACAUACAAGAAAGCACCACCCAAAGAUGGAAGAAUUGUGCUAGUGACUGGAUGGAAGGCUUUCUGUGAGCAAGCAGGGAUUAUGAAGAAUAAAGCCAUCAUGAUGCAGUUCUUCAAGAGAAAUGAUGACCUGGUUAUAGUAACCACUUUAUUAUAG